rnacentral:rRNA from 1 species
GCAGUCGAGCGACAGAUAAGGAGCUUGCUCCUUUGACGUUAGCGGCGGACGGGUGAGUAACACGUGGAUAACCUACCUAUAAGACUGGGAUAACUUCGGGAAACCGGAGCUAAUACCGGAUAAGAUUUUGAACCGCAUGGUUCAAUAGUGAAAGACGGCCUUGCUGUCACUUAUAGAUGGAUCCGCGCCGUAUUAGCUAGUUGGUAAGGUAACGGCUUACCAAGGCAACGAUACGUAGCCGACCUGAGAGGGUGAUCGGCCACACUGGAACUGAGACACGGUCCAGACUCCUACGGGAGGCAGCAGUAGGGAAUCUUCCGCAAUGGGCGAAAGCCUGACGGAGCAACGCCGCGUGAGUGAUGAAGGUCUUCGGAUCGUAAAACUCUGUUAUCAGGGAAGAACAAACGUGUAAGUAACUGUGCACGUCUUGACGGUACCUGAUCAGAAAGCCACGGCUAACUACGUGCCAGCAGCCGCGGUAAUACGUAGGUGGCAAGCGUUAUCCGGAAUUAUUGGGCGUAAAGCGCGCGUAGGCGGUUUUUUAAGUCUGAUGUGAAAGCCCACGGCUCAACCGUGGAGGGUCAUUGGAAACUGGAAAACUUGAGUGCAGAAGAGGAAAGUGGAAUUCCAUGUGUAGCGGUGAAAUGCGCAGAGAUAUGGAGGAACACCAGUGGCGAAGGCGACUUUCUGGUCUGUAACUGACGCUGAUGUGCGAAGCGUGGGGAUCAAACAGGAUUAUAUACCCCUGGUAGUCCACCCCGUAUCGAUGAGUGUCUAACGUGUUAGGGGGGUAUCCGCCCCUUUAGUGCUUGCGCCUCCAGAUUUUACGCAGUUCCGCCCUGGAGGCA